CCCGGGGACCCGGGCCGACCGGCGGGUAGGUAAGUAACCGGUAUGCACUCUACCUAUCAGGGGGGAGUAACCCGGCGAAAGUCGGACUAAUACCGCAUGAAGCAGGGGCCCCGCAUGGGGAUAUUUGCUAAAGAUUCAUCGCUGAUAGAUAGGCAUGCGUUCCAUUAGGCAGUUGGCGGGGUAACGGCCCACCAAACCGACGAUGGAUAGGGGUUCUGAGAGGAAGGUCCCCCACAUUGGUACUGAGACACGGACCAA
rnacentral:rRNA from 1 species